UGUCGUUGUUAAAUGUCAGUUUUUUACAUUAUACAAUAGAGUUUGUUUAUUUGGUUGUUAAUUUUACAUGACUAUUAAUAGUUUUUCCAAAAAAGCAUAGAAAUAAGUAAGAAAAUCGUAAAAUGGAUACUAUAUUCAAAAUUGAACCUUAUACUGAUUUUGAACAAAGCUGCCUGUGUAUAGGCUCCGUAAAUGGUUAAAGUUAAUAUGGUUAAUAUGGUUGACAAACAUAUUUGAUGAAAUUAUUAGACUUAAAAUGUUGUAAAAAAUAUAUUAUAAUACAAAAUCCCCUGCUGCUUCUGUCUGCUUCUUAUUACUUCAAUAUGAUAGGGACAUAACACUUAUAAAGUACCAAACUGAUUUCAAUGACAUUUGGUAUGGAGAUAGUUUGAGACUCUGAGGAGGACAUACAUACUCGUAGACUACUUUCUUUCCUGGGAAAUUAUAUAGUGGGAUUUUUGUCCUGGAGAACUCCUUAACACAGGUUGUUGGAGAAAUAAUUAACAAUCUGUACUACGCAAGGAAUACUGUAACAUUAAUUGAAGAGAGUGUUGUAAAUGAAGCCAAAGAUAAUGUAAGAAACAUAAUUUUCAAUUGCAACUUUGAUAUAAACAAAGUGAAGGAAGUUG